AUUGAACGCUGGCGGCAGGCUUAACACAUGCAAGUCGAGCGGAGAUGAGGUGCUUGCACCUUAUCUUAGCGGCGGACGGGUGAGUAAUGCUUAGGAAUCUGCCUAUUAGUGGGGGACAACAUUCCGAAAGGAAUGCUAAUACCGCAUACGCCCUACGGGGGAAAGCAGGGGAUCUUCGGACCUUGCGCUAAUAGAUGAGCCUAGGUCGGUUUAGCUAGUUGGUGGGGUAAAGGCCUACCAAGGCGACGAUCUGUAGCGGGUCUGAGAGGAUGAUCCGCCACACUGGGACUGAGACACGGCCCAGACUCCUACGGGAGGCAGCAGUGGGGAAUAUUGGACAAUGGGCGGAAGCCUGAUCCAGCCAUGCCGCGUGUGUGAAGAAGGCCUUUUGGUUGUAAAGCACUUUAAGCAAGGAGGAGGCUACCUGGAUUAAUACUCUAGGAUAGUGGACGUUACUCGCAGAAUAAGCACCGGCUAACUCUGUGCCAGCCGCCGCCGUAAAAC
rnacentral:rRNA from 1 species